GAUGAAGAACGCAGCAAAAUGCGAUAAGUAAUGUGAAUUGCAGAAUUCAGUGAAUCAUCGAAUCUUUGAACGCACAUUGCGCCCGCCAGUAUUCUGGCGGGCAUGCCUGUUCGAGCGUCAUUUCAACCCUCAAGCACAGCUUGGUGUUGGGACUCGCGUUAAUUCGCGUUCCCCAAAUUGAUUGGCGGUCACGUCGAGCUUCCAUAGCGUAGUAGUAAAACCCUCGUUACUGGUAAUCGUCGCGGCCACGCCGUUAAACCCCAACUUCUGAAUGUUGACCUCGGAUCAGGUAGGAAUACCCGCUGAACUUAAGCAUAUCAAGCGGAGGA
rnacentral:misc_RNA from 1 species